UCUCGCUGAAAAGGGCCGAAACGUCCAGGGGCCGAUUUUUCUACUGGGGCCGAUUUGGUUUGGGAUCGAAACGUCCUGUUUGCGUGUCCGAAGACUGACGGAAAGGGCCGAAAAGUUGCGACCCCAACAUAUUUAUUUUAACAAAAGAACACUUAGAAAAAUGUAUUGUUGUUUUCUAUAAUGAAAAGGUCAGAGUUGACCGAGGUUCGGCGAAAAAAACCGGACAAUUUUCCCGCUUCACACAUUACAGGUCACGUGAUCAUUUGAGCACAGAAAAGACCAGUUUAGGAGGGAACGUCGCACGGAGAAGAGGGCAAAUGGCGUUCUCUGUUGAUUUUGCAGGUGUGUUAAUAUUUUACAACUUUAUUGUGAUUUUUCAGGUAUGUACAGUACUGAAAGAAGAAGAAAAAGAAGAAGAGCCUGUUUAGAAGGGAGAGUCGCAUGGCGAAGAUGGAAGAAGAAAUGGCGUGCAGUCACAGGUUUUACUGGAAGAAGAAGAAAAAGAAGAAGAAUUAAGAACCUAUUUAGGAGUGAGAGUCGCAUGACGAAGAUGGAAGAAAUGGCGUGCAGGUGUGUUGAUAUUUAACAACUUUAUUGUGUCAUUUGCAUUUUUCAUUAGCCUAUCGUAUUGAAUGCCUUUGUUAUUUGCCUGCUUAUUUUUAUUUUGAUGAUUUGUAUGCAUAAUUGCUCCUGAUAAUUUAGACACCUGGCCGUUUUAUUACCCUGCUCCCACAUGACUUGCUAGUAAUCGUGUUGAUGAUUAUGGUUGAUGUUGAAUUUUACGGACUAGGUUGACCAGCCGCUCGACGUAACAUACUUCGCGCGACAUAGCAUUCUUCGGCGUUUUUUGUUUAAUUUUUAUUGUAUACUGACAAACAUUCCCGCCACAUUCUGAUUAUUAAUACAUGUAUUUUGCGCAUGCCAAACAGGUUUUAUUUAUUAUAUGUAAAAGGAUGUAUAUUGAAGAAAAUGUGUAUAAAAAAUUGUAUGAAAAUUGGUAAAAUAAAUGGAUAUAGAUUUGUUACUGGUCGGCUCGGUGAUAUCUUUGUUUCACUAUCAGUAUUAAAUGCAUAAUGGGUAUUAAAUGCAAAAAAAGGAUUGGAAAAUAUCACAAAUAAUAGUUUAACUGUAAACAUGUCAAAGAAGUGAGUUUCAAAAAUGUGUAUAAGAUUGUGUAUAAAAAUGUGUAUACAUAAAAUAUUGGUAUAAAAAUUGUGUAUAAAAAAAGGUAUAAAAAGUGUGUAUAAAACAUGGGUAUAAAAUUGGGUUAAAGAAAGAUUAGUAAGAUGUGAUUUGUAAAAAAUAAUGUGUGUAUCAAAAUAACUUGUAUGAAUAAUUUGUAUGAAAAAGGUAUCAUAAAAGGGUAUUAAAUUGUAUCUGGUUCCUGUUUGGCUGUUUCGCGAGAAAUCCCGUUUAACAUGUCAAAGGUUUUUUUAAUUAAUAGUAAAAAUAAAAACUUGGGUAUAAAAAUACUUGUAUGAGAAUGUGAAUAAAGAAUAUAAUAUUAAAGUUGUUUCUGGUAGGCUGUAUGCUCCAUAAUAUUCCCCAUUAUUUCAUAAGAUGAUAUGAAUAAUGUUUGGUAAAAAAAAAUAUCGCAAAAUUAUAAUUUAAAAAAGGGUUUUAGGUAAAAAUUGUGCAUCUUUGAUGUUGGUAUAACAUGCACAUACUAACUUUCGGUUCAGAGCUCAUCAUGUGUCUUUAUGCAAUUUCUGUUCUAGAGUUAGAAAUUUUAAGCACAAAGAUGGUCAAUUCUAAGGGUUAACACAUAUGUUAACAUUGGUAUGAUAUGCUAUGAAUUGUCUAUAUAAUAUGAAAAGUUAUGGUGCAAAAGGUGGUAAAAAUAAAUGUUUUAAAAGAAUUUUAAAAAUAUACCAGAAUGUAAACAAAUGUGUUAUAAAAAUAUGCUUGAAAAAUGUGUAUAUAAAAAAAGGUAUAAAAUUAACAUAAAAAAGUUAUAAAAAAAGUUAUAAUAAUACAAAUAGUAAUUAAAAAAAAUUAUAAAAGAAAUAAUAAUAAAAACAUAAAAAUACUAAUUAUAAAAAAAAUUAUAAAAGAAAUAAUAAUAAAAACAUAAAAAUACUAAUUAUAAAAAAAAAAAAUAAAAGAAAUAAUAAUAAAAACAUAAAAAUACUAAUUAUAAAAAAAAAAAAUAAAAGAAAUAAUAAUAAAAACAUAAAAAUACUAAUUAUAAAAAAAAACAAAUAAGAAAAACAAACAAAUCACAUACCAACAACAUAAUUAAGCUUCGUUAACUGAAUGGUGGGAGAAGUGUAGCGCGUUAUAAUAAUAAUAAUAUAAAAUAAAAAUAAAACGUCCAUUCAGUCGCGCGUAUAAACCGUUCGACGUAUACUAUGACUACACUUCUUCCAAUGCUGCCUAGUUUUAAUAACUAGCAUGUCCCAAGCCAUGAUAAAAGCAGAGGGGAAGAAAUGAAGUUAAUAGAUUUUAUAGCGAAAUCAACAAAAAUUAUCUGAUCAUGGUCUGCACUGUUCACUAUUCAGACAGAACAUAAUUUUGAAACUUUCCGAAAAAUAAAGUAAUUAAAUUGAAAGAUGGAUAUAAGUCCAUUUAACAUACUAAGCCUGGUUAGGUUUAUUUCUUCCAAUGCUGCAUAGUUUUAAUAACUAGCAUGUCCCAAGCCAUGAUAAAAGCAGAGGGGAAGAAAUGAAGUUAAUAGAUUUUAUAGCGAAAUCAACAAAAAUGUUCUUAUCAUGGUCUGCACUGUUCACUUAAUUCAGACAGAACAUAUUUUGAAAUUUUCUGAAAAAUAAAGUAAUUAAAUUGAAAGAUGGAUUUAAGUCCAUUUAACACACUAAACAUGGUACUGAGGUUUAACUCUUCCAA